rnacentral:lncRNA from 1 species
CCCUCAUCAACUUUUUUUUUUUUUUUUUUUUUGGUACCACAGAUCAAACUCAGGCCCUUGUGCUUUCAAGGCAAGCAGCAGAACCACUGAGCUAAGUCCCCAGCCCAUGCCCUCAUCAACUUAAGGUCCUCAUCAACAUCAGAUUGCUGCUGCCUUUUGAGCUUUGAGUCACUGGAUACUCCCUCCAGUCCUCACCGGGGUAGUUGGAGGAUGGACUGCCCUCCGAUACAGGGCUUCUCACAAUGAGGACUAUAUGGUCAACUUUCCUUGCAGCUACACUAAUUUCACAAUGGGAAUAUGCCUCCUCCAUGGGCUGCCUGAUGUUGCCGGGCUACUUUCUGUGAUCGCGGUGGAACAUCUCUGGGCCUGGGUCUCCUUCUGCCCCUGGCUUGAGAGUUGGGAGAUG